UGCUCCUGGAGCGUGGCCAUACAGCCCGGAACACUCACAGCAACCCAGUGGCUCAAUGCUGGGGGAUCUCCUUCUUUGCCCGAGAAGGGAGAUGCUUCCCCUUGUUACAAACCCGAGGACCCCAUUGCCUUGAAGCGGGGAGUCAGGCAGGCAGGAGGUGGGGCGAGGCCAGACAAAGCGGCGGCCCAACCUCUCUCUCUCUCUCGCUCUGUCUCUCUCUCCUUCGCCUUCGAGGAGGAGGCUGAGCCGGCCUUUGCUGCGUUGCGGCGCCGCUGCGUUGCCUGCUGGGCGCAUCUCCUCCUCGGAGGCGGGGAAGCCGGUCCCUCCCCUCAGCCUUGCCUUGCCUUGCCUUGCCUUGCAUUGGAAGGAGCCUCUCUCCCAGGACCGCUUUCCAAGAAAGAUCAAGGUGGAGAAAAGCUGUAUGAUGAAUCUAUAAGACAUGGAAGAUCUCUUUGAAGCUGAUUGAUGGCUCCUAUACUGAAUGAGAAGAGAAAGAUGAAGAAUCGCUUUCUAAAAUGUUCUGACAAAAUGUACAGUAUUGCAGUUAAUUUAUCCCACUGAAAUAAUUUCAGAACUCAAUUUUUGAAUGACACCAUUUGAUUCUGUCAAAAAUAAUCAGAAUAUAUAAUCACCAAAAGGACCACAUCCCCACACACUGUACACUGAAGAAAGAAUACAGAAAGAUGCCAUCCAUCACAAGAACUUCAGGUAGCCUGAUCAUAAUCAUAAACUAACUUUUCAUUAUCCUUUGGGCUGUCAGCAAGUGAGUAAACAAAUGAAAAAUGAUCUAAGAUGUGUGAAAUACCAUUACAUUACAUUGCACAUUAUAUGGGAUUUGUAGUUCUUGUGGUUCUGGGAUAUCGUACCUUUGAAGGCUUAACUUAAGAGUAGGAAUAUUUAAAGUCUAAGGGCCUCAAUUAAUCCACCACUGUGGUCAAGCUCAGUCCACAAACUGCCAUUGAGUCGCAUCUCUUUCAUGUGCACAUUGGCUGCUAUGAUAAUAGUUUGCUAUAGAGACUGGUGAGUAAGGCACCACAUCAGCACUCUUGCAUAGAAAGUGAGCUCAUGAAAGCUUCCCCUUAAAUGCAGUAUCAGGCCAGGUUCUCUGACUGCAACUCAAUGUACUCUCCUUCUUUAGGAGUUAGCCUCUGUGGACUCAGGAUUGCCUUAGAAUAAGGGUCUGGCAUAAGCUUACUAGUGUCUACAAAUGUCUUCAGAAACAUGAUAGGUUUAAAUAGGCAAAGACAGGUUCUGUAGGUUUGUUCUUAAGGUGAAUUUGUAAGUCAAAACAAGUACAUUUUAAGUGUAACUCCAGUCAAAUAUUUGGCUAUACACACACACACACACACACGCACACUGCAUAGCUGGAGCUACACUUUAAACUAUACCUGUUCCGACUUACAUAUAUCCAGCCAAUAUUUUAUUUAUUUAUUUAUUUAUAUAUAUAUAUAUACACACACACACACACACACACACACACACACACACAUGCUUUGGAUAGCAUAGGGAAGGAUUUACACCCCUGAGGUGUUUGUUUUGCUGUCUGUGUCCUUGUUCAGAAGAUUUCCCCUCACUUUCUCUCCCUAUGAGAAUUGGAUUUAGACAAAAUUAGCUUGUUGUGGAAACAAGAAUUGGUGACAGAGUUUCAGUGGAGCCCCCUUUCCCCUAUGGUAAUUCUCCCAGGAGUGGAUUUCCCUUCCCAGGUGUAGAUUUUUCUCACUUCCUGUUGUCUCAGCCUUGUUUGAAUUGUGUUGUCAAAGGCUUUCAUGGCCGGAAUCACUGAGUUGCUGUGAGUUUUCCGGGUUGUAUGGCCAUGUUCCAGAAGCAUUCUCUCCUGACGUUUGUUCCGCAUCUAUGGCAGGCAUCCUCAGAGGUAAU
rnacentral:lncRNA from 11 species